GGUUGCGAUCAUACCAGCACUAAUGCACCGGAUCCCAUCAGAACUCCGCAGUUAAGCGUGCUUGGGCGAGAGUAGUACUAGGAUGGGUGACCCCCUGGGAAGUCCUCAUGUUGCAACCC
rnacentral:rRNA from 1 species